GAUGAAGAACGUAGCGAAAUGCGAUAACUAAUGUGAAUUGCAGAAUUCAGUGAAUCAUCGAGUCUUUGAACGCACAUUGCGCCCUCUGGUAUUCCGGAGGGCAUGCCUGUCCGAGCGUCAUUGCUGCCCUCCAGCCCGGCUGGUGUGUUGGGCCCCGUCCCCCUUCCCGGGGGGACGGGCUCGAAAGGCAGCGGCGGCACCGCGUCCGGUCCUCGAGCGUAUGGGGCUUUGUCACCCGCUCUUGUAGGCCCGGCCGGCGCCAGCCGACCCCCUCAAUCUAUUUUUCAGGUUGACCUCGGAUCAGGUAGGGAUACCCGCUGAACUUAAGCAUAUCAAUAAGCGGAGGA
rnacentral:misc_RNA from 1 species